GGCCCCGCACAAGCGGUGGAGUAUGUGGUUUAAUUCGAUGCAACGCGAAGACCUUACCAGGGCUUAAAUGUAGUGGGACAGGUCUAGAGAUAGACCCUUCUUCGGACUCAUUACAAGGUGCUGCAUGGUUGUCGUCAGCUCGUGCCGUGAGGUGUCAGGUUAAGUCCUAUAACGAGCGCAACCCCUAUCGUUAGUUGCCAGCGGGUAAUGCCGGGAACUCUAGCGAAACUGCCGGUGCAAACCGAGAGGAAGGUGGGGAUGACGUCAAAUCAUCACGGCCCUUACGUCCUGGCUACACACGUGCUACAAUGGCCGGUACAGAGAGCAGCCACUACGCGAGUAGGAGCG
rnacentral:rRNA from 1 species